UCACUAACACGAAUAUCUCCACCAGAGGAAACACUGUGGUCCAGUUCACACUGAUUAAAGCCAGGAGACGAGUUCACAGUCACUAACAGAAACUGACUCCUGAAGCUGUGGACAGGGUCUCUGCUGUCAGAGGAUGAAAUCAGCUGAAGAAGAGGAGCCACGACUGAGCAACAACACAACCUGCAACAGGAGGAAUGAGGAACAUUAGUUCAUCUGCUCUCUGAGGUUUUACAGCUGAAUCAUCCAGAAACAGUCAGUCAGAAUCAGUCAGUAAAGUAAGUGACUGCAGCUCUGACAACAAGAACUGUGAGAAUCAAACAGUGAGUUCUGGCUUCAAUCACUUCACUGCAGGAAAACAUAUGAACAUAAUAACAAUGAUAAAGAGCAGAGUGUCUGACAGACACCAGAGACCAGAGACCACAUCUGAAAACUGAUGGAGGAUUUCAUCUUCAGCUUCCUCCUCUUCAUCCUCCAAACACGUGAAAACAGCUUCUAUACACUGAACCACAACUGAACCACAAUCAGUUCACAGAGAGAGGAGGAGUCUGAGAGACGAGAGAGAGUGAUGGAGGUCAGAGACGACAGGAGGAAGAGGAGGAGGAGAGACAAAGUGACAAAGACGUUUGUAGACGACAAACUUCACAAACUACCAGACUCUGUUAUUCCUGCAGCUCCUGUGAAAUAGUAGCUCAGACAAACAUCACAACUUCAACUCGUCUGGUCAAGGUCAAGGUCCAGGUCCAGGUCCAGUCCUGGACUGGAUAACGUCUCCUCUGUGAACACUACCUGGUUCAGAUGCAGAGGAAACUCCUCACCUGCAGCUCAGCAGAAUAAAAACUCAGGAGCUGAUGAAACCUGAAUAAACUCCACUCUGAAUAAAUAUUUGUCUUUAUUUGUUCAGGUCUCUGUGUUUUCCUGGUGAAGUGAUGAAUAUUUGCAGCCUGUGGGUUUUUUUCUAUAAUUAAUCAGUGAAAGGGAGUGUGGAGGAGAAAAUAAAAUCAUGAUUAGUGUCAGAAUAUUUCUGCCUGCAGCAGGACGUUCACUGAGCUUCAGGUUACUGAGCCGGAACCGAGACCAACACCUCCCUCAUCAACACCAGCCUCCAGACGUCUCCUCAAACUUAAAACCUACGAUUGAUUAAUGAAACUUUGUUAAUGAGAAGUUCAGAGGCUGAAAUUGAGCCUUUGUCUGAGACCUGGGUCUGAUCCUGAUCUGUACUGAUCAGGACUGAGUCCGUGUCUUUAACGAGGAGGCGUCUGACAGAGGAACGUGUCCUUUACUCUGUGAUAAGGUCAAACAGAUGAACGACCUGCCAGGCCACUGUUACCUGGGCAACAACGGCGUGACGAACGCCUGAGAACAGAGAUGAGGAGGAUUAUUGAUCUGUUACAGGAAAACACAAAGGAACAAAGAGGAGGAGCAGGAGAGACACAUGGAGGGAGGAUGAAGAUGAGAGCAGGAGGAGAAACCUAAAGAUGAUUAUUAAAUAUCAGAACGAUGAUUAAUUAACAGAUUUUACAUGAAAAACAACAACAUGAAGAAAAAGAAUCAUAAAGUUACUUUCAAUGAAUUUAAUAUAAAACUGAACAAACAGUUUUACU